GAACAUUUGAUCCUAAAAUGCUGCACAACAAGCAGCAAUGCAAGAAUUCCCAACAUCAAGGAGUGUUUCGAACAGAUGCCAAGAACGAAAUGCAACUUCCACGCCUUUGUGGUCAUAAAUCAAAACGAUAAGCAAUACUGUGUGGAUCCAGAAGCUCGGUGGCUCAAAGGUCGUAUCAAAAAGGGUCUGAAGUGUCCUCCCAUCAUCCC